rnacentral:rRNA from 1 species
GCCCUGCACUCUGGGACAAGCCCUGGAAACGGGGUCUAAUACCGGAUACGACUACCGACCGCAUGGUCUGGUGGUGGAAAGCUCCGGCGGUGCAGGAUGAGCCCGCGGCCUAUCAGCUUGUUGGUGGGGUGAUGGCCUACCAAGGCGACGACGGGUAGCCGGCCUGAGAGGGCGACCGGCCACACUGGGACUGAGACACGGCCCAGACUCCUACGGGAGGCAGCAGUGGGGAAUAUUGCACAAUGGGCGAAAGCCUGAUGCAGCGACGCCGCGUGAGGGAUGACGGCCUUCGGGUUGUAAACCUCUUUCAGCAGGGAAGAAGCGCAAGUGACGGUACCUGCAGAAGAAGCGCCGGCUAACUACGUGCC